rnacentral:rRNA from 1 species
GACGAACGCUGGCGGCGUGCUUAACACAUGCAAGUCGAACGAUGAACCCGGAGCUUGCUCUGGGGGAUUAGUGGCGAACGGGUGAGUAACACGUGAGUAACCUGCCCUGGACUCUGGGAUAAGCGUUGGAAACGACGUCUAAUACCGGAUAGGACCUUGGAUCGCAUGAUCUGGGGUGGAAAGUUUUUUCGGUCUGGGAUGGACUCGCGGCCUAUCAGCUUGUUGGUGAGGUAAUGGCUCACCAAGGCGUCGACGGGUAGCCGGCCUGAGAGGGUGAACGGCCACACUGGGACUGAGACACGGCCCAGACUCCUACGGGAGGCAGCAGUGGGGAAUAUUGCACAAUGGGCGAAAGCCUGAUGCAGCAACGCCGCGUGCGGGAUGACGGCCUUCGGGUUGUAAACCGCUUUUAGUAGGGAAGAAGGGCUUCGGCUUGACGGUACCUGCAGAAAAAGGACCGGCUAACUACGUG